AGAAACUCAAAUGAAUUGACGGGGCCGCACAAGCGUGGAGUAUGUGGUUUAAUUCGAUGCAACGCGAAGACCUUACCUGGUCUUGACAUCCCGGAGACCCUUAGGAAACUAGGGGGUGCUUCCAUCUGGAAGAAUCUGGAGACAGGUGCUGCAUGGCUGUCGUCAGCUCGUGUCGUGAGAUGUUGGGUUAAGUCCCGCAACGAGCGCAACCCUUGCCUUUAGUUGCCAGCAGUUCGGCUGGGCACUCUAAAGGGACUGCCGGUGUUAAACCGGAGGAAGGUGGGGAUGACGUCAAGUCCUCAUGGCCUUUAUGACCAGGGCUACACACGUACUACAAUGGCCGAUACAAAGGGCAGCGACACUGCGAGGUGAAGCCAAUCCCGUAAAAUCGGUCUCAGUCCGGAUUGGAGUCUGCAACUCGACUCCAUGAAGUUGGAAUCGCUAGUAAUCGUGGAUCAGCAUGCCACGGUGAAUACGUUCCCGGGCCUU
rnacentral:rRNA from 1 species